AAUGGGUCAGCGACUUAUAUUCUGUAGCAAGGUUAACCGAAUAGGGGAGCCGAAGGGAAACCGAGUCUUAACUGGGCGUUAAGUUGCAGGGUAUAGACCCGAAACCCGGUGAUCUAGCCAUGGGCAGGUUGAAGGUUGGGUAACACUAACUGGAGGACCGAACCGACUAAUGUUGAAAAAUUAGCGGAUGACUUGUGGCUGGGGGUGAAAGGCCAAUCAAACCGGGAGAUAGCUGGUUCUCCCCGAAAGCUAUUUAGGUAGCGCCUCGUGAAUUCAUCUCCGGGGGUAGAGCACUGUUUCGGCAAGGGGGUCAUCCCGACUUACCAACCCGAUGCAAACUGCGAAUACCGGAGAAUGUUAUCACGGGAGACACACGGCGGGUGCUAACGUCCGUCGUGAAGAGGGAAACAACCCAGACCGCCAGCUAAGGUCCCAAAGUCAUGGUUAAGUGGGAAACGAUGUGGGAAGGCCCAGACAGCCAGGAUGUUGGCUUAGAAGCAGCCAUCAUUUAAAGAAAGCGUAAUAGCUCACUGGUCGAGUCGGCCUGCGCGGAAGAUGUAACGGGGCUAAACCAUGCACCGAAGCUGCGGCAGCGACACUAUGUGUUGUUGGGUAGGGGAGCGUUCUGUAAGCCUGUGAAGGUGUACUGUGAGGUAUGCUGGAGGUAUCAGAAGUGCGAAUGCUGACAUAAGUAACGAUAAAGCGGGUGAAAAGCCCGCUCGCCGGAAGACCAAGGGUUCCUGUCCAACGUUAAUCGGGGCAGGGUGAGUCGACCCCUAAGGCGAGGCCGAAAGGCGUAGUCGAUGGGAAACAGGUUAAUAUUCCUGUACUUGGUGUUACUGCGAAGGGGGGACGGAGAAGGCUAUGUUGGCCGGGCGACGGUUGUCCCGGUUUAAGCGUGUAGGCUGGUUUUCCAGGCAAAUCCGGAAAAUCAAGGCUGAGGCGUGAUGACGAGGCACUACGGUGCUGAAGCAACAAAUGCCCUGCUUCCAGGAAAAGCCUCUAAGCAUCAGGUAACAUCAAAUCGUACCCCAAACCGACACAGGUGGUCAGGUAGAGAAUACCAAGGCGCUUGAGAGAACUCGGGUGAAGGAACUAGGCAAAAUGGUGCCGUAACUUCGGGAGAAGGCACGCUGAUAUGUAGGUGAAGCGACUUGCUCGUGGAGCUGAAAUCAGUCGAAGAUACCAGCUGGCUGCAACUGUUUAU
rnacentral:rRNA from 1 species